rnacentral:rRNA from 1 species
UUGCCCUAGUAACGGCGAGUGAAGCGGCAACAGCUCAAAUUUGAAAUCUGGCGUCUUUGGCGUCCGAGUUGUAAUUUGCAGAGGGCGCUUUGGCAUUGGCAGCGGUCCAAGUUCCUUGGAACAGGACGUCACAGAGGGUGAGAAUCCCGUACGUGGUCGCUAGCCUUUACCGUGUAAAGCCCCUUCGACGAGUCGAGUUGUUUGGGAAUGCAGCUCUAAAUGGGAGGUAAAUUUCUUCUAAAGCUAAAUACUGGCCAGAGACCGAUAGCGCACAAGUAGAGUGAUCGAAAGAUGAAAAGCACUUUGGAAAGAGAGUUAAAAAGCACGUGAAAUUGUUGAAAGGGAAGCGCUUGCAGCCAGACUUGCCUGUAGUUGCUCAUCCGGGUUUUUACCCGGUGCACUCUUCUAUAGGCAGGCCAGCAUCAGUUUGGGCGGUUGGAUAAAGGUCUCUGUCAUGUACCUCUCUUCGGGGAGAACUUAUAGGGGAGACGACAUGCAACCAGCCUGGACUGAGGUCCGCGCAUCUGCUAGGAUGCUGGCGUAAUGGCUGUAAGCGGCCCGUCUUGAAACACGGACCAAGGAGUCUAACAUCUAUGCGAGUGUUUGGGUGUCAAGCCCGAGCGCGUAAUGAAAGUGAACGGAGGUGGGAACCCCUCGGGGUGCACCAUCGACCGAUCCUGAUGUCUUCGGAUGGAUUUGAGUAAGAGCAUAGCUGUUGGGACCCGAAAGAUGGUGAACUAUGCUUGAAUAGGGUGAAGCCAGAGGAAACUCUGGUGGAGGCUCGCAGCGGUUCUGACGUGCAAAUCGAUCGUCAAAUUUGGGCAUAGGGGCGAAAGA